AUCAACAUGUACAACUAUCCCGUGGUUCAAGGUCAAGCGAUAGGCACGCCAGCGUACGGACAGGAGAAUGUCAACAGUAUGACGCCGUCAUCAAACUACCCGUCCAGUUUCUCUUCAGCAGAGGCGGCCUCAGGUACGCAGCCGUAUUGAUUGGUGUAAUCAUCGUCCUCGGAGUCAUCGUCGCGGCUGUGACAGUGAUCGCGCUCGCAAACGGUAAGAA